rnacentral:rRNA from 1 species
AUACGGAGGGGGUUAGCGUUGUUCGGAAUUACUGGGCGUAAAGCGUACGUAGGCGGAUUAGUAAGUUAGGGGUGAAAUCCCGAGGCUCAACCUCGGAACUGCCUCUAAAACUGCUAGUCUUGAGUUCGAGAGAGGUGAGUGGAAUUCCUAGUGUAGAGGUGAAAUUCGUAGAUAUUAGGAGGAACACCAGUGGCGAAGGCGGCUCACUGGCUCGAUACUGACGCUGAGGUACGAAAGUGUGGGGAGCAAACAGGAUUAGAAACCCCAGUAGUCC